rnacentral:lncRNA from 1 species
AGGGUUUUGGUAUUAAAAACAUAAAGGCAUAGUCUAGAGAUUUAAAUGCAUGUGACUCCUGUUGAGACUAAAUGUCAUUUGUUUGGAUAAGAAGUGAAGAGUGUAAGUGCUUUAAAUAGUCAGUGAAAACACAUGACAUGACUUAGCAUGGUCUGAUGUCUAAAAUCACCUCCCUCAGGUCUGUGGGAGUGUUUAACCACCAGCAUGACUAAAUAUGGGGCCAAACACUGAUGUCUGCACUCUGGAACAGGGGAGAACCCUGAUGAGGUCUGGAGAAGCUGCUGCACUCCACAGCUCAGGCUCCUGCUUCAGUUCACUGUGGGCUUGUAUGUGGUUGGGCCUCCCUCAUCUAAUCAGGAGUUGCCAUGCUCUUACCAGUCCCUGCUGUUCUGGGGAACAUCAGACUAGGUGUUUCCCUGUGGUAGGACUGGAUGCUGCAUGCUUGCUCCAAUUCCUUGAUAGGACAGAUGGAGAAAACAAGCCUGCUGCCUCUAGCCAGAAGCCUCUCCAUGGGCAGAAUGAUUCUCCUUUCUCAUCAGUCACCACAAUGAGAAAUUGA